rnacentral:lncRNA from 1 species
GAAUGGCGUCGGGGUUGGAGGGUUGGAAGGUCGGGAAGUGAAGGACUCGCAGGCAUAUUUAACAACGCAAAGUUGCUAGGAGUUGGUACCAGCGUUUGGGAGGUAGAGGUGGCGCUCAUGCAUAUUUGAGACAACAUCUGGAUGGUUGGGGAGAACGGUGAUGCCACACUCAAUCAGAAACUAUGCUACUGCUGAAGAGGUAUAUUGAGCCCUGCCUGGUUAACCUCCAGUGAGGUUAUUAGAGAAUUGGGAGAGGCUCAAAUCAGCAUCCUGCACCUAGUUAUCAAACCAUUGUGAAGUCUUGAUUCCUGGAUGGCCAGAAAACUUGUCAUUGGUCAAGAGCAACAUUAAGAUCUGCCUGUUACUCAUACUGAUGCUUCCUGCCCAGCAAGUUCAUCAGAGGGCGAGGAUGAAUUACGGUUGCCAUGAAUGUCCUUGUGAGGCAGUUGGGAAGCCUUGGCUGGAUUGUGAAGGAUAUUUGAAAAGUAUUUUAGAGUCCACCAGAUCAUCCAUGUGAGUGACCAUGCAGCAAAAGAAGGAGGGUCCUCUCAGUGAUUAAGGUAACAUAGUGAUUAAGGUAAGUAGGGAAAGAGAGGCUUACUUUGCCCUGAUUCUUGUCAGGGAGGCUCUUAGAGAUGCCAUUUCCAGAGCAUAAGUGACAGGCCAGCAUUUUCAAAGCUUGCAACUUAUUCUAUAAUAUAUCCUUCUUAAAACAAUUCAUGUAGAUUAUAUGCUCACCCAGUCUGGGAUCACUCCUGCAGAAGAUCAGAAGAACUGAAAUAUAGGUGACAUAAGCUCCUGCUUUUGUAAAUGUUUUGUUGAAACACAGUUGUGUUCAUCCAUUAUUGUCGAUGGCAGCUUUCAUGCUACAGCAGAGUUGAGUAGUUGGGAGAGAAACCAAAUGGACCAUAGAGUUUGAAAUAUUACUGUCUGGCCCUUCACAGAAAGUUUGCCAAUUCCUGGCAUAGGUUAAAUAAAUGUACUAUAUCCACAAAUCCUCCUCUCCCCAUUUUCCUUUCAAUGGGACUUGCAUUUACAGUUGAUCCUAGAAUGUAUGGAAUCUCAUAGUAAUCAGCUUGCUUCUGAAUUUCUUCCCACUCAAAUUAAGCUCACUCAGAAAGCACAUUCACAAAUUGGGCUACAUAUACAGAAGGAGCUAUGUUUUAUAUGCCUCACUGUAGUCAACUCAUUUAUCCUAUAUGUAUGGUUCCCCCAUUUUUUCCUUCUUUUCAGGGGUAACUUUUAAACUUGAGCCAUUCAUGAGUAUCCAAAAAGUUACAACUUAUGUUCUCUAAUUAAGACUUCAUCCUUAUUUUAGUAUACUUCCCCUCUCUGGCUUUUUUGCAUAUUUCUGCAGAUGUCUUGACCUUUCUGGGGAGUAAGCCCCCUUAGAAGAUUAAUUUUCUGUAGUUCUCUAUUGAGGAAAUACAUGACAUUUAGCUUUUUAAUAAUUUGAUGCCAUUCAUUGAGUACCUACUGUGUGCUUUAUGUACCCUGUCUCGUUGAAUUUUUACAAAAAACUGAAAGAGUUAGUUUUGUGUUAUUACUACCUCCAUCUCAAAGAUGAGUCUUGGAAAGCUUAAGUAACUUUAGGUCACAUUGUAAUCAGUGGCAGAACUGGGACUUAAGAACAUAAUUCAUGACUGCAUUUUCUUUUCUUUCUUUCUCUUUCUUUCUCUCUCUCUCUUUUUUUUUUUUUUUUAAAGAGAUAGCAUCUCACUCACUAUGUUGCCCAGACUGGUCUUGAACUCUUGGGCUCAAGCAAUUCUUCCACCUCCGCCUCCCAAAGUGUUAGGAUUAUAGGCAUGAGCCCUCAUGCCUGCCCCUUGCAUUUUCUAUUUAAGUGAUCUUGAAGUUUUUUUUUUUCUUUUUUAAAUCUCGGAAUUUGGCCUUUAGUAAGCAUAGAAUAGCAAAGUGUAAUACCUGAGCUGGGGGAAAAAGUCCUUGAAUUCUUUAGGAAAGACUUAAUUGGUGGGUACAAAGUGAAAUGCUCACUGGAAUCAGGAAUCAGAAACCAGUUCUGAUCACCUAUCCCUACAUAUCCUUCUUCACUCUGCCCUGGCAUAUCAUGGUUGAUGUACAUAGCAAUGAUCAUCCCUUCUGUAAUCCCACUUGACAGUUUAGAAGUGGAUUGAUAAUACUCUUCUGGCUUAAAACCCUUCUUCUCUGGGCAGGUGUGGUGGCUCCUACAUUAUCCCAGCACCUUGGGAGGCCGAGAUGGGAGGAUUGUGUGAGCCCAGGAGUUUGAGACCAGCCUGGGUAACAUAGCAAGACCCUGUCUCCACAAAAAAAUAAAAAAUUAACUGGGCACGGUGGUGCUCACGCCUGUAAUCCCAGCACCUGGGGAGGCCGAGGCGGGUGGAUCACGAGGUCAAGAGAUCGAGACCAUCCUGGCCAACAUGGUGAAACCCCGUCUGUACUAAAAAUACAAAAAUUAGCCAGGCGUGAUAGCAGGCGCCUGUAGUUCCAGCUAUGGGAGGCUGAGGCAGGAGAAUCAGAUGAACCUGGGAGACGGAGGUUGCAGUGAGCUGAGAUCACGCCACUGCACUCCAGCCUGGUGACAGAGUGACACUCCGUCUCAAAAAAAAAAAGAAACGAUCACAUCCAGAUGUCCUGUUACUGGAAGGGCACCAUAGUUUAUCCUGCACCUAACACUAAUACACCUACUCUGGGAAUUCUUCUACCUACAACUAUUUAUUUAUCUGAUCCCAUCUGGUAUUAAAGUUCUAAAAGUUAACAGAAUUCUUAAAGGUUCCCAAUGCCUCCCAGAAACCCCAUCAUCUCAAAAUCACUAGCUAUUAAAAGAAGCAAAAAAAAAAAAAAAAAAAGGUGGCUCCUGACCUAGUCUCUUUGAGUAUGAAGACCUAUUUACUAUGUAAAGCUGUCACCUGCCUUGAAAAGAUUAAGACAGCAAGAAAGUUCUUAGAAAGUGGGUAUGUGGCUGGCCUCAGAUAAGGAUAAAUUGCUGAGAAGAAGGAGUUGGGUUUUUUUUGUGUUUUUUUGUUUCUUGUUUUUGAGACAGGGUCUUGCUCUAUCUCCCAGGCUGGAGUGCAAUGGUGCGAUCACAGCUCACUGCAGCCUCAACCUCCCAGACUCAAAUAAUCCUCCCUCCUCAGCCUCCCAAGUAGCUAGGACUACAGGAUGCACCACCGUGCCCAUUGUUUCUAUAUCAGGGUCUUAUAAUAUGGCAGACACAAUGGCCUCCCACAGAGAAAUGAGCCAUAAAAGGACCCUGUAAAAGCAAGGAUGGCUCAUUGUUUUAAGACAGCCAAAUGUAUGGCACUUGGAGAAUUUCAAAGAGUAGAAGGCCUUCUUGAUUGCACUCCCCUUUAACAGCCUUGCCUCUUAUGGGGCUAUGUGGAUCGUUGAAAUGGUUCACAAGUAAAGUGAAAAAUGGUUAUGCGUAGUGUGUCAGCCCCACCCUAAGCUCCCAGAGCCUCCAUUCUGAGUACAAAGGUCAGUUUUCUUCUCGGGACAGGCCAAGGAUGAUGGGGUUUUAAUUUCUCUCCUGAUCCAUGGCAAAGCAUUCCUAAACUAGGCACUGGAAGUCUUGGUAACUGGAAAGAGACAUUCACCAAGAUGAGGAAGGCCAAAACCAAGUGCCUUAUAUAGUCCCUAGAAAGCAUUUCAUUUUAUGGAACAAUCUUUGGUCUCUCUUUUUUUUUUUUUUUUUGUGAGACAGUGACUCAGGCUGGAGUACAGUGAUUAGGUCACUGCUCAUUGCAGCCUCAACUUCCCGUGCUCAGGUGAUCCUCUCACCUCAACUUCCCGAGUAGUUGGGACUGCAAGCAAGCGCCACCAUGCCCAGCUAAUUUUUUGUAUUUUUUUGUAGAGACGGGGUUUUCCCAUGUUGCCCAGGCUGGUCUCAAACUUCUGGACUCAAGCAAUCCACCUGCCUUCGCCUCCCAAAGUGCUGGGAUUACAGGUGUAAGCUACCAUGCCCAGCUCUGGUCUCCUUUCUUAAUCCUGUUGAAUAAGGAAGAUUUUUUUUAUCUGAACCCUCCUCUUACUCUUCUUUCUGUUCUCCUUCCAUGAUCACUUUGUCCAUCUUCCUCUUUGUCAUAGGCAUGUCCUAUUUCUAAUUCCCUUUCUCUUUUCUUUGGUAGGCUAGCCUUCGAGACUGCAUUACCCUCCCCAACUUAAAAUCUUUUGAUAACCCAGGCAGCUGGGUUAUCCCCAAUUUAAAGUCUUUUUGUUGUAGCUGUAUGGCAUUUAUCUAGAGCAUGGGGUACACACAGUAGGUUUCUCUCCUCUCUUUUUUAACAUAUUUAUUAUGUUUAUGCAUGUAAAGAGUUUGUUGUUGGCCAGGCCUGAUGGCUCACGCCUCUAAUCCCAGCACUUUGGGAGGCUGAGGCGGGAGGUCAGGAGUUCGAGAGCAGCCUGGCCAACGUGAUGAAACCCUGUCUCUACUAAAAAUACAAAAAUUAGUGGAACAGGGUGGCUCAUGCCUGUAAUUGCAGCUACUCAGGAGGCUGAAGUAGGAGAAUCACUUGAGCCUGGGAGCUGAGAUCGUGCCAUUACACUCCAGUCUGGGUGACAGAGGGAAACUCUGUUUCAAAAUCAACAACAACAAAAAAAAGUUUAAAAAUUGGAAACCACCAAAAGGUAGUAUUAAAAGGGAAAUAAAAAUUACUCAUAAUCCCAGAACGCAGUCAUAUGCUAUUUUUAGUCUUAUUUUAUUCAGCCAUUUUUCUCUUUACACAAACUUUUUUUUUUUUUUUUGAGAUGGAGUCUCACUCUGUUGCCUGAGCUGGAGUGCAGUGGUGCGAUCUCGGCUCACUGCAACCUCCGCCUCUUGGGUUCAAGCGAUUCUCCUGCCUCAGCCUCCUGAGUAGCUGGGACUACAGGCGACCGCCAUUACACUCAGCUAAUUUUUUGUAUUUUUAGUAGAGACGGGGUUUCACCAUGUUCACUGGGCUGGUCUCGAACUCCUGACCUCAUGAUUCGCCCACCUCGGCCUCCCAAAGUGGUGGGAUUACAAGCAUGAGCCACUGUGCCCUCCCUACAGGUUUUAAAAUUUAUUAUUAUCUAAAUAUUCAUUUUAAAUGUUAAUUUUAGUGUACUUCUUUGAUUAUUUUCUUUAGAGAAAUUUCUGAUUUCAGAACCAAGUUUAUUAGCAUUCACUGUAUACAUUAGCACCAUUAAAACUAGCUAGACCCAAGAAGCAGUAUUGAAUGGGUACCCCUUCUUUACUUUCCUCUGAUUCACUCUACUCUGGUGCUCACAGCUAAGUAAGUAUGUACAGCAAUGGCCUGUCAUUUGGUCGAUUAUCUUUUGUGCUCUGAAAUGUCUUUGUUUUUUCAUCUGCUCUCAAUACCUCUGUGCUCUGAUCCUUUGUAUAUAAGGGUAACCAUAUUUGUUCUUUCCUGUGAAAUAAUAAUUCUUUUCCUUCCAUUCAGAGUAGCUGCCUGACUCAUACAAUGAAUAAAGUCACAUAGACUCAAAGAGUGGAGAUGGAGGUCGGAUGUGGUGGCUCGUGCCUGUAAUCCCAACACUUUGAGAGGCUGAGGUGGGAGGAUCGCUUGAGCUUGAGCACAGGAGUUUGAGAUCAGUCUGGGCAACGUAGUGAGAUCUCAUCUCUGCCAAAAAAUAAAAAUUAGCUGGGUGUGGUGGUGCAUGGCUGUAGUCUCAUGUAGUCCCAGCUACUUGGGAGGCUGAGGUGGGGGGUCACACAUACUUUUUGUUGUUACUGCUUCAUCAUUGGUUCUGAUCACUCAGUGUUCUUUCCCUUACACCAGAUCAUAAUACAGUAUUCUGACUAGGCAACUUAGCUCAGUUUAUUACGAAUAGCCUUAAUUAAUUUGGUAAAUUACUAUGAAUGAACAUUUCAUUCAUUCUGCUAGGUCUAGGUUUUGCCAGCUGUUCCAUUAAGGGACACUAUGGCACGGGUUGGCAAACUUUUUCUGUAAAGGGCUAGGUAGUCUCUCUAUUCAACUCUGCUGUUGUAGCAUGAAAACAUCCAUAGACAAUAUGGAUACAAAUGAGCAUGAUUAUGUUCUGAUAAAACCUGAUUUACAAAAACAGGUAGUAGGUUGGAUUUGGCCCAGGGGCCAUAGCAUGCUGACCCCUGCUCUACAGUAUACAUACACAAAGACUUUCAAACAAAGAUGUAUACAAUAAAACAACCAUUCAGAGUUAUUUGAUUCACAGUGUGUAUAAUAUAAUAAAAAUAAUACAGCUGUAUUUGAGUCAGCACUGAAAAGUCUCUUGUGAUCUGUGUCUUACGUGCAUGAAUUGCAGAAUAUUCAUACGAAUACCAUGAAUAUUCUUCACGGGCCAUGUUAUUACCAUCCCUUAGAGGAAUCUCUUCCUUGUCGUGGGUCUUUCUUUGUAUGGCUUAGAAGUGAUGUUGUCUUUAUAUUGUGUUAUUUGUUCUUAACUUUACAUUAUCAGCUCUGGUGUGCUUACCUUUUUCACCAACGUGUCUUCUACCCUACUUACCUCAUAAGUGAAUCUAAUACAGAGGUUAUUUUGGAUAUAAUCAUUAUCUUAACAGGCAAGAUAGUGGGCUGUGCUAUUUCAAACCCUAAAUUUGGCUUUCAGGAUUAUGAAGUAUUAAUUCUUCCACUGAUAUCUCAAAAGGUGAUCUGGACAAAGGAACAGGUAUCUCAGGUAAGCAAUUGUUGAAUAUGAAAGUAAAUAUUCUUCUUUGAUCGUUUGUUGUAUUUGUUAUGUUUAAUAGCUUUCCUAAUAAUGAACCAACUUUGCAUUUCUGGAAGAAGAUUCGUACUUUUUUGAGACGGAGUCUUCUUUUUUUUUUUUUGAGAUGUAGUCUCGCUCUGUCGCCCAGGCUGGAGUGUAGUGGUGCAAUCUCAGGUCACUGCAGCCUCUGCCUCCUGGGUUCAAGCAAUUCUCCAGCCUCAGCCUCCCGAGUGGCUGGGAUUACAGGUGUGCAUCGCCAUGCCCAGCUAAUUUUUUGUAUUUUUUUUAGUAGAGACGGGGUUUCACCAUGCUGGCCAGGCUAGUCUCGAACUCCUGACCUCGUGAUCUGCCCACCUCAGCCUCCCAAAGUGUUGGGAUUACAGGCAUGAGCCACCACGCCCGGCCAGAUUCAUAGUUUUCAAGAAUUUUGAAUUAUAUUUGCUAAAUUUGAUAUUUCAAAUUUUAUUUUCUAUUUUAUUUAUUAUUUUUUUCCUUUAUUUAUUUAUUUUUUUUGAGACAGGGUCUCACUCUGUUGUCCAGGCUGGAGUGUGGUGGUGCUAUCAUGGCUCACUGCAGCCUUGACCUCCCAGGCUCAAGGGAUCCUCCUACCUCUCAGCCUCCUGAGUAGCUGGGACCAUAGGUGUGCACCACCACACCCAGAUAAUUUUUGUAUUUUUCGUAGAGACGGGGUUUCUCCAUGUUGCCUAGGCUGUUCUCAAACUCCUGGGCUCAAGCUAUUUGCCCACCUUAGCCUUCCAAAGUGUUGGGAUUACAGGGUGGGCUACCAUGCCCGGCCUUUUUCUGUGUUCAAAAGUGAGUUGUUUUGCGGGGGAUGGCAGUCUUUUUCAAUUGUUGAUGUUAGGGUCAUUAAUGAAAUCUUUUGUUGCCUAUUGUUUUAAACUGAACCAAUCUCAAAUAUAUCCCAUGCCAUUAAAUAUACUUUAAUAACAUCUUUUAAAAAUUGGCACAUAAUACACCACUGCAUGAAUGUAAAAAUUUAACUUGUAUCUGAUAUUUGGAACCUUGUUUUAAUUACUGCUCUUUUAAUUGUGUGUAAAUAGUGCUACAGUGAAUAACUCUAUAGAUAAAUUUUUGUACAUAUGUGUGUUUUAUUUCCUGAGGUUGGAUAAAAUAUAUGGUCCUUCUAUUAGUGUAUAAGAAUGCCCGUUUUUUUUUUUUAACUUUUUCACCAGUACACUAUGUUAAGGUUUCAGAAGAAUUUGCCAAUUGUAAAGGUAAAAAAUGGCCUUUGAUAUUUUAAUUUGUAUUUCUUUGAUUCCUAACAAGAUAGAACAGAUAAAAAUCUUGGGUCUUAUUUUUGAGUUUAUUUUUCACACUUAGUUUUAGUCUAUCAUAUGUUGCAGAUAUUUCCCCCAGUUUGGCCUAUAAAUUAUUAAUUUGUAUGUAGCUCAAAUAUCUUUUUCUUUAUGGUUUAUUCUCCACUUGCAUUUUAUAAUAGGAAGAUAAAUAUAUUUUUUAUAGUUCAUAAUUCCUUUAUACUUUUUAUUAUUUUUUUAAAUACAAAUCUUUCCCAUUGGGAACCUUUUUGGUGUGUGGUAUGUAACUGAUUUUUCUAAAUGUUCAGCACAUUCAGGGUUUGGGGGGUUGUAGUAAGGGUACUUGUGGAGCUCUCAACAGCAGGACUUUAAAAAUCUUUUCUCCAGUGCUCUGCUUUUAACAUGACUUAAAUAUUCUCUCAGCCUGUUUCAGUUUUCCUGCCAUUGGCUUAUGCUAUCUUCUAUGAGGGGAGUUAGCAAACUUUUUCUAUAAAAAGCCCAGUGGUAAAUAUUUUAGGUUUUGUGGGCCAUAUGGUUUCUGCUCUUGUAGCAUGAAAGCAGUCAUAGACAAUACAUAAAUGAGUGAGUAUGGCUGUGUUCCAACAAAACUAGUUACAGAAAAAGGUAGUGGGCUGGAUUUGGUUUAUUGGCGGUAGUUUGCCAAUACCUGCUUUAUGACACUGUACUCUUACAACUUCUGCUCACCUAGUUUCUGCUUCGUCAUAGUGGGCUUUCUCAUAGUUAUGCCUCUGAUUUUCCCUUGUAACUUCUUAGAAUACCUUCUUCACCUCUCAUCUUUGCUACUGAUUACCUGUUUCCAUAUUUCACAAUUUUAAGUUUCCGAGAGCACAGGCGAUAGCUAAAUUAAGAUGCUUUGCAUGUUACCACUAUUAUGUACUUUGCUUGGCUGUCUACCCUGUUGCUUCAAUAUAACCAAUUCCAAAUAGCUGCAUUCCUUUUGAGGGUCUCUUCCUUGCAAUCCAGAGUUCAUUGCAAGAAAUGGGGUGAUUUGGAUCAUUUUAAGGAAGUUUAUGGAAUUCAACUCUAGUGUGGUAUCAUUAAUGUAAUUAAGCUCUUCUCUCCUUAUGUGUAUCAUGUUGGUCCUACUACAGUUUGGUUUCCUCAUACUCUGUCUUCCUCUAACCUCCUGGUUACUGAAUACUUAGAUUUUUUUUCUCAUUCAUAACUUGAGCUUUUGCAACUACUAUAGGUGUGACCUUCCUUCUACAUUAUCUUUCUCUCUACAGACUAUCGACUUUAGCUCUUGCUACUCUCCAUGUUGCCAAGUUGUCAUUAAACUGAGAAUCUGAUUCCCUGUGGGUUAAGUUUCCUGAGACCGCAGGGAUAGUAGUUGCUAUUUGGCAGGUCUAGGACAUUUCCCCCUACUGAUUACUAUGUGCAAAUGUAUCUCUUUCCCUAUUUAUGAUGCAAAAUUGCUUUAGCCUAACACAAUCCAGCUACUAUAAGUGUAUCCAGAAUCAAGCUCUAAAACUAGAAUGCAACCCAGUCAUGUAGCAUCCAGAAGUACCUGAACCAUCUUUGGAACUUGACAGUUUCACAGUUAACUCUGCAACCUUACUCUCCUUAUAUCCUGAUGCUAUUUUAUAUGCCUGUUAGGUUGUAUCAGAUCUACAUUCUGAUCUAUAGUUUGGAGAUUAUAAUUUUCUAAGCAACCCUUUGUGAGGUCACAGAUACUUUUUGUUUGUUACUGGUUAUAGGC